AUUAAUAUUUUGAGUUAAUAGCGCCAAAUGAAACUCAAGAGUAGCAUGUCAAACAUCUGAGCUUGGGUAUACGGGGAAACCCAACCCCUUGGGAGGAUGGAUGAUAUGGCUAAAUUGAGAGGA
rnacentral:ribozyme from 1 species